UACGUAGGUGGCGAGCGUUAUCCGGAUUUAUUGGGUUUAAAGGGUGCGCAGGCGGCCUGUUAAGUCAGCGGUCAAAGCCCGGGGCUCAACCCCGGCCCGCCGUUAAAACUGGCAGUCUCGAGUUGGAGAGAAGUAUGCGGAAUGCGCGGUGUAGCGGUGAAAUGCAUAGAUAUCGCGCAGAACCCCGAUUGCGAAGGCAGCAUACCGGCGCCCGACUGACGCUGAGGCACGAAAGUGCGGGUAUCGAACAGG
rnacentral:rRNA from 1 species